rnacentral:rRNA from 1 species
AUUGAACGCUGGCGGAAUGCUUUACACAUGCAAGUCGAACGGCAGCACGGGGGCAACCCUGGUGGCGAGUGGCGAACGGGUGAGUAAUACAUCGGAACGUGCCCGGUCGUGGGGGAUAACGUAGCGAAAGUUACGCUAAUACCGCAUACGAUCUGAGGAUGAAAGCGGGGGACCUUCGGGCCUCGCGCGAUCGGAGCGGCCGAUGUCAGAUUAGGUAGUUGGUGGGGUAAAGGCCUACCAAGCCGACGAUCUGUAGCUGGUCUGAGAGGACGACCGGCCACACUGGGACUGAGACACGGCCCAGACUCCUACGGGAGGCAGCAGUGGGGAAUUUUGGACAAUGGGCGCAAGCCUGAUCCAGUCAUUCCGCGUGCAGGACGAAGGCCUUCGGGUUGUAAACUGCUUUUGUAUGGAACGAAAAGGCUCUGGCUAAUACCUGGGGCUCAUGACGGUACCGUAAGAAUAAGCACCGGCUAACUACGUG